rnacentral:tRNA from 1 species
GGGGAUUUAGCUCAGUGGUUCCGGCACCUGCCUUGAAAGCAGGUCCCGAGUUUGAUCCCCA